GACGAACGCUGGCGGCGUGCUUAACACAUGCAAGUCGAACGGAAAGGCCCUGCUUUUGUGGGGUGCUCGAGUGGCGAACGGGUGAGUAACACGUGAGUAACCUGCCCUUGACUUUGGGAUAACUUCAGGAAACUGGGGCUAAUACCGGAUAGGAGCUCCUGCUGCAUGGUGGGGGUUGGAAAGUUUCGGCGGUUGGGGAUGGACUCGCGGCUUAUCAGCUUGUUGGUGGGGUAGUGGCUUACCAAGGCUUUGACGGGUAGCCGGCCUGAGAGGGUGACCGGCCACAUUGGGACUGAGGUACGGCCCAGACUCCUACGGGAGGCAGCAGUGGGGAGUAUUGCACAAUGGGCGGAAGCCUGAUGCAGCAACGCCGCGUGCGGGAUGACGGCCUUCGGGUUGUAAACCGCUUUCGCCUGUGACGAAGCGUGAGUGACGGUAAUGGGUAAAGAAGCACCGGCUAACUACGU
rnacentral:rRNA from 1 species